AUCACAUGUUUUUGAAAGACAAUUUUAUUUGGAAAAGGAAGUCUUAGCUUUACUCCCAACUGCCCCACCAUAGUGCAAGCUGCACCCUUCUGGUUACCGCUAGAACUGAGCUUUCGCUCGCCGUCCACCACUGCUGUUUUGCUGCCGUCGCAGACCCGCCGCUGACUUCCAUCCCUCCAAUCCAGCAGGGCGCCCGCUGUGCUCCUGAUCCAGGGAAGCACCCGUUGCCACUCCUGAUCGCGCUAAAGGCUUGCCAUUGUUCCUGCAUGGCUAAGUGCCUGGUUUCGUCCUAAUCAAGCUGAACACUAGUCACUGGGUUCCACGGUUCUCUUCCGUGACCCACGACUUCUAAUAGAGCUAUAACACUCACCGCACGGCCCAAGAUUCCAUUCCUUGGAAUCCGUGAGGCCAAGAACCCCAGGUCAGAGAACACGAGGCUUGCCACCAUCUUGGAAGUGGCCUGCCGCCAUUUUGGAAGUGGCCCACCACCAUCUUGGGAGCUCUGGGAGCAAGGACCCCUGGCAUCUGGAUAUUAAGACUGUCUCCAGCCCUUUGAGGUUGAGAGAGGAAGCAAGCACGGAGGAAUGGAUUUGACAACCCACAUGUCCGUGACUCAAAGCAAGCAAGGCCUUGCACAACCAACUCGCCACCCACACAAUCUGCACAGUCUCAGUGAGAAAGCAGGAGCAGGGAGCUCUCCGCUGAGAGUGAAGAAAUGUCCUCAACUCGACUUCUCUGCAGUGUGCAUGUGUGUGAAACACAGACACACACGGGAGGAAUUUGGCUCUGUCAUUUUAGUGUACCAAAGAAAAAAAAACAGGGAGAAAUCACUUGUUUGAAGCCCUAAAUGACAUAAGGAAGAUUUUCCCAGAUCUAAAUAAUGAUCCCUAAGGUCAGGUGCUGUGUAUGGUAUGGAUUUGGAAACUUCAUAAUGUCUCUGACCACCACUCCAGGACACUGCAGACAGGUGUGCAUUUACUCAGCAUCCAGUAAACACCUGCAAGGUGCAGAGUACUACACUAGGCACAGGGAACAGAGCUACUGACUGACUGCCAGAGUUUCGAAGAAUACAGAUAAGUCAACUAUUAAAGCUAGGAAACAGACCGGAUGCGGUGGCUCACGCCUGUAAUCCCAGCACUUUGGAAGACCGAGGCGGGUGGAUCAACUGAGGUCAAGAGUUCAAGACCAGCCUGCCAACAUGGUGAAACUCCGUCCCUAUUAAUAAUACAAAAAAAUUAGCUGGGCAUGGUGGCACAUGCCUGUAAUCCCAGCUAUUCGGGAGGCUGAGGCAGGAGAAUUGCUUGAACCCAGGAGGCUGCAGUGAGCUGAGAUCGCGCCAUUGCACUCCAGCCUGGGCAACAAG
rnacentral:lncRNA from 1 species